rnacentral:rRNA from 1 species
CCUACGGGUGGCAGCAGUGGGGAAUAUUGCACAAUGGGGGAAACCCUGAUGCAGCGACGCCGCGUGAGUGAAGAAGUAAUUCGUUACGUAAAGCUCUAUCAGCAGGGAAGAAAAUGACGGUACCUGAGUAAGAAGCCCCGGCUAACUACGUGCCAGCAGCCGCGGUAAUACGUAGGGGGCACGCGUGAUCCGGCUUUAUUGGGUUUAAAGGGUGCGCAGGCGGAGGUGCAAGUCAGCGGUCAAGUUGCGGGGCUCAACCCCGUACUGACGUUGAAACUGCAUCCCUUGAGUGCGCGAGAAGUAUGCGGAAUGCGUGGUGUAGCGGUGAAAUGCAUAGAUAUCACGCAGAACUCCGAUUGCGAAGGCAGCAUACCGGCGCGCAACUGACGCUCAUGCACGAAAGCGUGGGUAUCGAACAGGAUUAGAUACCCGAGUAGUC